GCCCUCGUGGUGAAAUGGCAAACACGGUAGGUUUAGGACCUACUGCCGAAAGGUUUGGAGGUUCAAGUCCUCCCGAGGGCA
rnacentral:tRNA from 10 species